GGCUGCAUGAUUACUUGCCUACGUUACAAGCCAGGCAAAAGUUGCAACGGCAGACCACCAACCUUCGGUCUGGAGAUGUCCUAAUCGCUGAAGAAAACGUCCCUAGGGGCCAGUGGGCUUUAGGAAGGGUUAUCAGUGUAUUGGAGGGUCGGGAUGGACUUGUCCGUAGCUGUGUGGUAAAAUCUCUUACUUCCGAAUUAGUUAAACCUAUUACAAAAUUGUGCUUGCUUGAAUUUUCAAUCUAGUUAAUCUACAGUUAAGUAAGUGAUUAACAGUAAUGACUAUUUGAUUUGAUUGACUUGUAAUUGCCAUUGCAUGGUGUUUAUUGCAAUGAUUUACUUUUGUACUCUGAUGAGUUGAGUCCAUCUGAAUUAUAGUGGUAAAACACUUACUUUGUAUAUGUGUGCUGUUGAUUUAAAGAAAUUCUUUAGAUUAUUGCAAUUGUUUAAAUUAGUUGACGCUGUAAUAAUGGUUUUGUAUCAUACUGAUGUGUUUAUGUUCUUGUAUGAAAUAUUUAUAAUUUCAUGGUGGGGAAUGUAAGAAACGUAUACAUUUCUUAAAUAAUGUCAAUGACAUCAGUGUAUUUAAUUACGUGACGCGCCAUUUGUUAUACGACGUUGACGUCAUAUGUUAUUAUGACGCUAUUGUUUUUGUUGUGAAAACCGUCCACAGACAGGAAAAUGAAUUGGAACUUGGAUGUUUAAUAAGAACUUUCUGACACCAGUAUCGGUGUUUGUUUGAAAUAAUAAGUUAUUAUUCAAGUCGAUCGUGUAGUUGAGGCUGCCUACAUCGUUCUCGCCCUCGCAAAUGUAAGUGUCAGACGCGUAGCGAGUAACGUCCGGCAGACGAAGUAUCUCACCAGUUAUUCUCGUGUCUGAUAAGAAACAACGAAAAUAAGUCAAACCCUUACCCACGGCGUCCCUCGACCCCCGAUACCAGCGCACUGUGGGCGUUGGAACACCCGAGAAGUAACACUUCAGUUCCUCCGGCGUGCUGCCUUCUUGGAACUUCUCACGAAAAGCAGACGAACGUUCUGGGAUAAUCCGUGGAGCCUCUAUCAUUUUCUUGUUCUGCCUGCCGGAGCGUCUAUAUGGAGACCGACCCAAAUACAUACCGAUGCCGCAGCGUCUAUAUGGAUACCGACCCGAAUACAUACCAAUGCCGGAGCGUCUAUAUGGAGACCGACCCAAAUACAUACCGAUUCC